GGGAAGGUAGCUCACUGGUAGAGUGCUUGCCUUGCAUGCAUGAAGCCCUAGGUUCGAUUCCUCAGCACCA
rnacentral:tRNA from 1 species